AUUGAACGCUAGCGGGAUGCCUUACACAUGCAAGUCGACCGGCGUGGCGAACGGGUGAGUCAUGUAUCUGAACGUGCCCAUUAGCGGGGGAUACCUACGCGAAAGCGUAGCUAAUCCCGCAUACUAUUUGGGCCGCCCAUAUCGGAUUAGCUAGUUGGGGGGGUAACGGCGCACCAAGGCGACGAUCCGUAGCUGGUUUGAGAGGACGACCAGCCACACUGGGACUGAGAAACGGCCCAGACUCCGAAGGGAGGCAGCAGAGGGGAAUUUUGGACAAUGGGGGAAACCCUGAUCCAGCCAUCCCGCGUGUGCGAGGAAGGCCUUAGGGUUGGAAAGCACUUUUGGCAGGAAAGCGGUACCUGCAGAAUAAGCACCGGCUAACUACGUGCCAGCAGCCGCGGUAAUAC
rnacentral:rRNA from 1 species